CAGUGUUACACGAUGGAGGUGUUUUCCUCCACAAGGAGAUAGCACCGUCCCCCACCAGGCAGCGAUUACUGACACGUUUGCCCCUCAGCCUAGAUCAGCUUACAACUCAAUGGCGGAAUUUGUUGAGCACGUUCACGUGGAGUCCGACACCCUGCUGCAAAGACUAGAGGCGAGACCUCCAGUCGUCAGGCCUGACGACGUGGCGAGCAUCCUUCGCAACUUCCGUGCACGUGCUGCCGCACUACUACGUCGUGUCUCCUGUCGGAGCGCGGCAGAUGUGGUGCAGACGUCGGGCCGACGGCCAUCACCACCACUACCCCGACGUUCCAGCGUGGAUCGGAGUGGUCUAUCCUCUUCACGUCGCGGGUACGAAGCGGCCCACACAUCUCAUGGUCGUCCUUCCUUUCAGCACACCCCAGCACCGGAGUACACCAGGGGGUCAGCCGGAUCAGGGGUACCCACGUCGAGCACAGCACCACCACGUCCGCAGGUAUUCCAAACUCCGCCUUAUGUUCACCCCUCGCAGGGAGCAUCUGGGUCGGCACACUUCCCUUACAUGCCAACGGGGGACAACGUGUUGAACACACCAGCAUGGGGACUUCAUAUCACUCCGCGUGCGCCAGAGCAGGGCCACACACAGCACACAUGUAAGUCAUUUUAAACAAUAACACGCUUUAGUUUCUAAUUAUAUGUAUCGUUACUAACUACGCCAUAUUUUUUGGUUUCUCCCUCUUGUGCAAACAGACGAUGAGUACAGUUCGGCGUCGACGCAUCACGGAAUGCCUGCUUACUCCCCUCGCACAGCAUUCAUUGAGGACUUCUUUUCCACUGAUCCUCCCCAGGGGGAAGUAGGGAUGGAUUACUGGCACGCAGCACCUCAGGUCACACAGCUGACGCAGGAGACAAAGGCCGGUCAGGGGCCAGACGUGACACCACAGCAGGCAGCUAGAGAUAGGCACCCCCCUGAUAAUUUGACAUAUCCCACUGAGCAGAUUAGGCGUAGGAAGAAGGGAGGACCUAGCAAGCGUGCGAAGGGCACUGAUCGUCCUUGACUUAUCUAUUUGUAUUAAACUUUUAGUCAUUUAUGUUCUGUCCGUACUAUUUGAGAAACACUUUACGAUUAACUUAGUACUAUCAGUACUAUUUCAUAAA